rnacentral:rRNA from 1 species
AAUCAACGCUGGCGGCGUGCCUCAGACAUGCAAGUCGAACGAUUAAGACUUCCUUCGGGAGGUGCAUAAAGUGGCGCACGGGUGAGUAACACGUAAGUAAUCUACCCUCGAGUGGGGAAUAACGUUCGGAAACGAACGCUAAUACCGCAUAACGCAGAGGCACCGCAAGGUGACAGUUGUUAAAGGAGCAAACCGACUGAGGAGGAGCUUGCGGCAGAUUAGCUAGUUGGUAAGGUAAUGGCUUACCAAGGCUACGAUCUGAAUCCGGUCUAAGAGGACGGUCGGACACACUGACACUGAAUAACGGGUCAGACUCCUACGGGAGGCAGCAGUCGGGAAUUUUGGGCAAUGGGCGAAAGCCUGACCCAGCAACGCCGCGUGAAGGAUGAAGUAUUUCGGUAUGUAAACUUCGAAAGAAUGGGAAGAAUAAAUGACGGUACCAUUUAUAAGCUCCGGCUAACUACGUGCCAGCCGCCGCCGUAACAC